UACACACACAUGCACACACUCGACACACACACCCAUGCCUAAUUCUCACACACACCCCUAUACACACACAUGCACAUACUCAACACACACACCCAUGCCUAUUCGCUCACACACCUAUACACACACAUGCACAUGACACACACCCAUGCCUAUUCUCACACACACACACCUAUACACACACAUGCACAUACUCGACACACAGCCAUGCCUAUUCUCUCACACACACGCUCACACACCUAUACACACAUGCACACACUCAACACACACGUGCUCAUCCAUAGUCACACGUUUACACAUAUGCACACAUUCGGAUACACGCACACCCGGUACCUUCACACACACAUGCACACACUCGAUAUACACAUGCUUAUGCAUAUUUGUGCGUGCACACACUCAUAUACACACACACCCAGUACCUUCACACACACGCACACAAUACACACAUACUCGUGCACAUCCACACACUUGAUACACAAUUUGCACACACAUCCAUGCACACACUUGAUACAUAAACACCCACACACAUUCACACAUUUUCACACAUGCACACACUUGAUACACACCCAUGCACAUUCACACACAGUUGAUACAUGCACACACACAAUUCACACACAUACACACACUUGAUACACCCCAAUUCACACAGACAUGCACACACUUGAUACACACACUUUCACACAUCCCCACACACAUGCACACACUUGAUACACACACUUUCACACAUCCCCACACACAUGCACACACUUGAUACACACAUUCACACAUUCACACACACAUGCACACACUUGAUACAUACAUUCAUACAUUCUCACACACGCACACACUGGAUACAUACCCAUGCACAUUCAUACACAUGUACACAUGCACACACUUGAUGCACACACACCUAUGCAUAUUCACACACUCACACAUAUACAUGCACACACAACACACACACCCAUGCACAUUCACACACACAGUACACACCUCAUACACAUGCACAUGACAUACAUUCACACACUCAGGCAUACACACAUACUCUUUCACACUUCUCAACACAAAACAUACCCAUUGACACACACUCUUGCACCCACACUCAGGCACACACACAUUCAUUCCCACCCAUCUACACACACGCGCUCAUACACUUCCUGCACCGAGCAGCGCUCACCCCCUGGGAACAGAGCAGGUUUGGGGUGGAGGUGGGCUGCUGUCCUGAUU
rnacentral:lncRNA from 1 species